UUUUUGUCCACAUUAGUUCGUAGGAAUUGGUGAAAGAUAUAGUAAUUUUGACCAUAACAAUGGCGAUGAGAGUAAUUUUGACCAAGAUUUCUCCUUUUGCUUCUUCGAAUACAUCAUCAUUAGGUUUCAUUGAAGGGGCGCAAAGGAUUCGUCGUCACUUUUUGGAUACAGAAGCUUACCGCAGUGGAAAGCUCGAUAAGGCGGUGUAUUUGAAGGAGGAUAUAACUAUGGAUGAAUUCAACGCAAUGAGUUGGGAGGAUAUAAAGUAAAGUGGGACAAGUAUACAACAUUAAACAAACCUCCUUCUGCAGAAAUUAGGAAUGGGGUUUCCAAGGUAAUGGAGAAGAUGGUUAAGAAGAUAAAUGAUGAUAUGUUUAACGAGUACGCAAUAAUCUGUAUGAAGAGUUUGAGGAUAUGGAGGACUGGCAGGUUAGCGAGUUGCGUGUUGUCUUGGAUUGAUGUCAAAAGGCGUAUUCACUAAGGUUCAGUUAUGGUAGAGGGAAAAUUUACACCUGCUCAGCCGCAACACUAACAUUAAGAGUUUGCUUGUUACUUGUUUUUGUGCUGAUGUUGGUUCUUGUCCCCUUUUCAAUCUUUUAGGUGUUUAUGUUGGUACUCGAACUUUUAUUUCAGUCUUACUUUUGUUUGUUUGAUGAAGGGUUGCGUUGUUACAGCAA